rnacentral:rRNA from 1 species
GUGCCAGCAGCCGCGGUAAUACGUAGGUGGCAAGCGUUGUCCGGAUUUAUUGGGUUUAAAGGGUGCGUAGGCGGUCUAUUAAGUCAGUGCUGAAAUAUCCCGGCUUAACCGGGAGGGUGGCAUUGAUACUGAUGGACUUGAGUGCAGUCGAGGUAGGCGGAAUUGACGGUGUAGCGGUGAAAUGCUUAGAUAUCGUCGAGAACACCGAUAGUGAAGACAGCUUACUAGACUGUAACUGACGCUGAGGCACGAAAGUGUGGGGAUCAAACAGGAUUAGAAACCCUUGUAGUCC